rnacentral:snRNA from 1 species
GUCUUUUCUUCUGCAGCACGUGUGUUAAAUUUGGAAAAAUAUAAAGAUUGGAAGAGCAAGGAUGAUAUGUCAAUUCAUAAAGAAUAUCAUAUAUUC